AGCUAAAAUAGUUUAAAAGGUAAAACUAUAAUUGUAAAAUUUAUAAUGAAAGUUCGAUUCUUUCUUUAGCUA